rnacentral:rRNA from 1 species
GCGGAGGAAAAGAAACCAAUAGGGAUUCCCAUAGUAAGGGCGACUGAAAUGGGAGAAGCUCAUCCCUGAAUCUCCCGUGUUAUACGCACGGGCGAGUUGUAGGGUUUAGGACGUGAUUGGGAAUCGUGGAAGCUUAAACAGUCUGAAAGGGCUGACCAAAGAGGGUGAUAGUCCCGUAGAGCAGAAGCGGUUUCAACUUGCGACCCUGUAGAGUCGCGUUGUUUGGGAGUACAGCGCUAAUUGGGAGGUAAAUGGCUUCCAAAGCUAAAUAUUAAUCAGAGACCGAUAGCGAACAAGUACCGUGAGGGAAAGAUGAAAAGAACUUUGAAAAGAGAGUUAAAAGCACGUGAAAUUGGUAUAGGGGAAGCGGUUGUUAAAGUUGCUUAUUAUGAUGCGUAUUCUAGUGUGAAGUGGUUACGGAAGUGUGGGUUUAGGGUUUUAUACUACGGCUCUAAUGAAAGUCUCCAUGAAUCGCCGUAUUUACGUGUUGUGUGCGACAGCACGGUUGUGUCGCGUAGGAGAUAGGUGUGGGUGGAAGGGUCUUGUACCUGGAAAGUCAUGCUCGGUACUGGCGCGGUGCAUCUAGGGAUAAAAACUUAUCAUUGGCGUGGCGCCCUGAAAGAAUUUCGAUGAUGGAAGGGUAAAAUGUCUUUGUGGUGC